rnacentral:rRNA from 1 species
UAGCAUAUCAAUAAGCGGAGGAAAAGAAACCAACAGGGAUUGCCUUUAGUAGCGGCGAAGUGAAGCGGCAAAAGCUCAAAUUUGAAAUCUGGCACUUUCAGUGUCCGAGUUGUAAUUUGAAGAAGGUAUCUUUGGGUCUGGCUCUUGUCUAUGUUUCUUGGAACAGAACGUCACAGAGGGUGAGAAUCCCGUGCGAUGAGAUGUCCCAGACCUAUGUAAAGUUCCUUCGAAGAGUCGAGUUGUUUGGGAAUGCAGCUCUAAGUGGGUGGUAAAUUCCAUCUAAAGCUAAAUAUUGGCGAGAGACCGAUAGCGAACAAGUACAGUGAUGGAAAGAUGAAAAGAACUUUGAAAAGAGAGUGAAAAAGUACGUGAAAUUGUUGAAAGGGAAGGGCUUGAGAUCAGACUUGGUAUUUUGUAUGUUACUCUCUCGGGGGUGGCCUCUACAGUUUACCGGGCCAGCAUCAGUUUGAGCGGUAGGAUAAGUGCAAAGAAAUGUGGCACUGCUUCGGUAGUGUGUUAUAGUCUUUGUCGAUACUGCCAGCUUAGACUGAGGACUGCGGCUUCGGCCUAGGAUGUUGGCAUAAUGAUCUUAAGUCGCCCGUCUUGAAACACGGACCAAGGAGUCUAACGUCUAUGCGAGUGUUUGGGUGUAAAACCCGUACGCGUAAUGAAAGUGAACGUAGGUAGGACCUCCUUUAGGAGUGCACUAUCGACCGAUCCUGAUGUCUUCGGAUGGAUUUGAGUAAGAGCAUAGCUGUUGGGACCCGAAAGAUGGUGAACUAUGCCUGAAUAGGGUGAAGCCAGAGGAAACUCUGGUGGAGGCUCGUAGCGGUUCUGACGUGCAAAUCGAUCGUCGAAUUUGGGUAUAGGGGGCGAAAGACUAAUCGAACCAUCUAGUAGCUGGUUCCUGCCAA